rnacentral:rRNA from 1 species
ACGUAGGGGGCAAGCGUUGUCCGGAAUGAUUGGGCGUAAAGGGCGUGUAGGCGGCUAAGUAAGUCUGGAGUGAAAGUCCUGCUUUUAAGGUGGGAAUUGCUUUGGAUACUGCAUAGCUAGAGUGCAGGAGAGGUAAGUGGAAUUCCCAGUGUAGCGGUGAAAUGCGUAGAGAUUGGGAGGAACACCAGUGGCGAAGGCGACUUACUGGACUGUAACUGACGCUGAGGCGCGAAAGUGUGGGGAGCAAACAG